rnacentral:rRNA from 1 species
UCCAGCCUGCCGCGUGAGUGAUGAAGGCCUUAGGGUUGUAAAGCUCUUUUACCCGGGAUGAUAAUGACAGUACCGGGAGAAUAAGCCCCGGCUAACUCCGUGCCAGCAGCCGCGGUAAUACGGAGGGAGCUAGCGUUGUUCGGAAUUACUGGGCGUAAAGGGCACGUAGGCGGCUAUUCAAGUCAGAGGUGAAAGCCCGGGGCUCAACCCCGGAACUGCCUUUGAAACUGGAUAGCUUGAAUCCGGGAGAGGUGAGUGGAAUUCCGAGUGUAGAGGUGAAAUUCGUAGAUAUUCGGAAGAACACCAGUGGCGAAGGCGGCUCACUGGACUGGUAUU